CCUACGGGAGGCAGCAGUGGGGAAUAUUGCACAAUGGGCGAAACCCUGAACCAGCAACGCCGCGUGGAGGAUGAAGGUUUUCGGAUUGUUAACUCCUUUUGUUAGAGAAGAUAAUGACGGUAUCUAACGAAUAAGCACCGGCUAACUCCGUGCCAGCAGCCGCGGUAAUACGGAGGGUGCAAGCGUUACUCGGAAUCACUGGGCGUAAAGCGCGCGUAGGCGGGAUAGCAAGUCAGAUGUGAAAACCUAUGGCUUAACCAUAGAACUGCAUUUGAAACUGUUAUUCUAGAGUAUGGGAGAGGUAGGUGGAAUUCUUGGUGUAGGGGUAAAAUCCGUAGAGAUCAAGAGGAAUACUCAUUGCGAAGGCGACCUGCUAGCACAUAACUGACGCUGAUGCGCGAAAGCGUGGGGAGCGAACAGGAUUAGAUACCCGUGUAGUC
rnacentral:rRNA from 1 species